AGUGAACGCUGGCGGUAGGCCUAACACAUGCAAGUCGAACGGCAGCACAGUAAGAGCUUGCUCUUACGGGUGGCGAGUGGCGGACGGGUGAGGAAUACAUCGGAAUCUACUUUUUCGUGGGGGAUAACGUAGGGAAACUUACGCUAAUACCGCAUACGACCUACGGGUGAAAGCAGGGGAUCUUCGGACCUUGCGCGAUUGAAUGAGCCGAUGUCGGAUUAGCUAGUUGGCGGGGUAAAGGCCCACCAAGGCGACGAUCCGUAGCUGGUCUGAGAGGAUGGACAGCAACAAUGGAAAGGGAAACAGGGCCAAACCCCAAAGGGGGGCAGCAGGGGGGAAAAGUGGAAAAAGGAGAGAAGGCGGUAACAAGAAAAACGGGGGGGGGAAAAAGGUCUUCGGGUUUUAAAGGCCUUUUUGUGGAAAAAAAAAACAAGAAGUUAAUUCCCCCGGGGUCGGGAGGGUACCAAAAAAAAAAGACCGGACAAGCUUCGGG
rnacentral:rRNA from 1 species